CUACUAUGUUCAGAGUUUGAUUCUGGCUCAGGAUGAACGCUGGCGGCGUGCUUAACACAUGCAAGUCGAACGGACUUAAUUAACGGAAGUUUUCGGAUGGAAGUUAAAUAAGUUAGUGGCGGACGGGUGAGUAACGCGUGGGUAACCUGCCUCACACAGGGGGAUAACACUUAGAAAUAGGUGCUAAUACCGCAUAAGCGCACGGUGUCGCAUGACACAGUGUGAAAAACUCCGGUGGUGUGAGAUGGACCCGCGUCUGAUUAGCUAGUUGGUGAGGUAACGGCCCACCAAGGCGACGAUCAGUAGCCGGCCUGAGAGGGUGAACGGCCACAUUGGGACUGAGACACGGCCCAA
rnacentral:rRNA from 1 species